UUGGCUUCAAGAGUAUAUUCAAAUGGCCUCUUUUUUUCGCCGAGGUUUAAUGGCAAUGCAGACUAGAUUACCAAGUUACUAGAUCGUUGGUGAUCGAUCGUUGAAUCACAGUUCCUCAGCAGAAUAUUGUAUCAGUUAAUCAAAGCAUAUAGAAUUUUCAGGAGUUAAGGUGGUGAUACCUGCUGGGAAUGUUUUGGUGGAAGACUCUGAGUAGAAACGGGCUCUAAUCUUUUGAUCACAGGUUCUCUCUUACCAAAUGAUUGCCACUUAACUAGUGCAGUGCUUACUGUAAUAAAAUAGAACAUCAGCAAGGUAGCACUUGAUGACGAGACUAUGUAUCUUGAUGUGCUGUUUUCUUUUGCAUCACAGUUAUGUUUGACAGUGCCAUCACUUGCUGUCAACUUGUUUAUUUUUUUUCAAUCCUGAAAAUCGUAUGCACAUGUAUUGUCACUAUGUGUCUUCUUGGUAGUUCCAGUAUAUCUUGGUGUUUAUAACUUGAAAACUAUGGUGCAGUUGUAAUUGCAUAUACAUAGCUGACUGCCAUUUCGAGGAAACAAAUGUGCUACCAUGUUGGUAGAUAGAUGCAUGUCCGUUGUCAUGUGUGUCUAGUCGAAGUCUUCCUCUUAAAUCUAUUUAUUUCUUUGCUAAAUAUGCUUUAUUAAAGCUCACACUGAUGUUUGGUUCCUGCUGGAGGAUAAAUAACAAAGCAUCAGCUGGAGUGUUGAGGCUGAUGCAUCACUCGACAAGGAAGAAAAAGGGGCAAGGAGACGUCACCAUCAGGCAGCACCUAGCCUCCUUGAAUAUUGUGUUCGUGAUGUAUAUAGUUGCAAAGGAUGUGUUUUGCUGUAAUAGAUGUAUAUAGUUGCAAAGGAUGUGUUUUGCUGUAA